GCGGUCGUGGCGGAAUUGGUAGACGCACCGUCUUCAGGCGGCGGCGGGGCGACCCGUGGAGGUUCGAGUCCUCUCGACCGCACCA
rnacentral:tRNA from 1 species